rnacentral:tRNA from 1 species
GGCCUCAAGAAAAUGCUAAAUUGCAAGUUUGGCUUAUGAAGAUGUAAGUUUUCAGAGGUCUA